rnacentral:rRNA from 1 species
AUGUCGUUCCGCGGCCGUGGAGGGAGAGGAGGAGGGAGAGGCGGCCGCGGAGGAAGAGGAGGCAGAGGCUUCGGGGGCGCCAGCUAUGACCACCCCGCCAAGCACGCUCCCCAUGAGGACUUCCCGGAGAUCACCCUGCCGGAGAUGACCUGCGCCAAGGCGACCAACGAGGAGAAGGCUCUGAUACUGUCCACCUUGAAGCUCGAUGAUUUCAUGAGGAAUUCUUGCUACUACCUGGAGCCGGAUGCCCCCAAGAAAAAGAAUGACGACAAAGAGAUCGAAAGAUAUUCUGAUAGGAAGCGUAAAACACAGAGCAAACGGGAAGCUCUUGCAUCAUACCUCAAACUGAUCCCUGCAAAUUUUCCUGCAGAACUGCUACAUGGCUCUAAACGAGCACAACCAGUUCAGAAAAAACUUCGGUGGGAUAAAGACGCAGAUAAUCAGGCAUUUGAUAUAUUCGAGAAACUUGAAGCGAAGCAGAAGGAUGGAGAGGAGAAGACCGAAAAGGAGGGUGAUGAGGAGGAGGAGGAUGAAGAGGAGGAAGCAGAAGCGGAAGAAAGUUCAGAUGACGAUUAUAAUCAGAAUAUCGAGUUUGAUGAUGACGAUGAUGACUGGAACCAGGAGGAGGAAGCACAUGAAGACUGCUAUGAUUGA